rnacentral:rRNA from 1 species
UACAGAGGGGGCAAGCGUUGUUCGGAAUUACUGGGCGUAAAGGGCGCGUAGGCGGCCUUCUAAGUCGAACGUGAAAUCCCUGGGCUCAACCUAGGAACUGCGUCCGAUACUGGAAGGCUUGAAUCCGGGAGAGGGAUGCGGAAUUCCAGGUGUAGCGGUGAAAUGCGUAGAUAUCUGGAGGAACACCGGUGGCGAAGGCGGCAUCCUGGACCGGUAUUGACGCUGAGGCGCGAAAGCCAGGGGAGCAAACGGG